rnacentral:rRNA from 1 species
GACGACGCGUGGCGGCGUGGAUUAGGCAUGACAAGUCGAACGGUAUCAUCCUUUCGGGGGUGAGAGAGUGGCGAACUGGUGAGUAACACGUAGGUUAUCUACCCUCAAGACGGGGACAACCCAGGGAAACUUGGGCUAAUACCGGAUGUGAGCAACUUUUAGUUGUUUGAAAGGUGGCGUAAGCUGUCGCUUGGGGAUGAGCCUGCGUCCUAUUAGUUAGUUGGUGAGGUAACGGCUCACCUAGGCAAUGAUAGGUAGGCGGCCUUAACGGGUGGUCGCCCACACUGGGAUUGAGAUACGGCCCAGACUCCUACGGGAGGCAGCAGUCGAGAAUAGUCUACAAUGGUCGGAAGACUGAUAGUGCGACGCCGCGUGAACGAUGAAUCCCUUCGGGGUGUAAAGUUCUUUUAUAUGUGAGCAGUGCUUCUUAUAUUAACAGUAUGGGGAGAGAGAUAUUAGCAUAUGAAUAAGCAACGGCUAACUCCGUG